AACGAACGCUGGCGGCGCGCCUAAUACAUGCAAGUCGAGCGAGAAGGUGUAGCAAUACACUUGUAAAGCGGCGAACGGGUGAGGAAUGCAUGGGUAACCUACCCUCGAGUGGGGAAUAACUAGCCGAAAGGUUAGCUAAUACCGCAUACGUUUCCGGAACUUCGGUUUCGGAAAGAAAGCAAUACCGUGGGUAUUGCGCUUCUGGAUGGGCUCAUGUCCUAUCAGCUUGUUGGUGAGGUAACGGCUCACCAAGGCUUCGACGGGUAGCCGGUCUGAGAGGACGAUCAGCCACACUGGCACUGCGACACGGGCCAGACUCCUACGGGAGCAGCAGUAAGGAAUAUUGCGCAAUGGACGAAAGUCUGACGCAGCGACGCCGCGUGGGGGGAUGAAGGUCUUCGGAUUGUAAACCCCUUUCGGGAGGGAAGAUGGAGUGGGUAACCACUUGGACGGUACCUCCAGAAGCAGCCACGGCUAACUUCGUGCCAGCAGCCGCGGUAAU
rnacentral:rRNA from 1 species